CCCUUAGAUGUCCUGGGCUGCACGCGCGCUACACUGACGAACUCAACGAGCUUAUCACCUUGGCAGAGAUGUCUGGGUAAUCUUUUGAAAGUUCGUCGUGCUGGGGAUAGAUGAUUGUAAUUAUUCGUCUUGAACGAGGAAUUCCUAGUAAGUGUGAGUCAUCAGCUCGCGCUGAUUACGUCCCUGCCCUUUGCACACACCGCCCGUCGCUCCUACCGAUUGAAUGGUCCGGUGAGGUUCUCGGAUUUUUUCUGUUGUUUGGUUCGCUAAACGAUUGAAGAGAGAAGUUACCCAAACCUUACCAUUUAGAGGAAGGAGAAGUCGUAACA
rnacentral:rRNA from 1 species